rnacentral:lncRNA from 1 species
GACCUGGAGGCAAAAAAGGACCUGGAGGCAAAAAAGGACCUGGAGGCAAAAAAGGACCUGGAGGCAAAAAGGAUUUGGAGGCAAAAAAGGAUUCUGGAGGCAAAAGAGGACCUGAAGGCAAAAAUUACCUGGAGGCAAAAAAGGACCUGGGGACAAAAGGAUUCUGGAGGCAAUAAAAGGACAUAGAGACAAAAAGGCCUGGAGGCAAAAAGGAUUUGGAGGCAAAACAAGGACCUGGAGGCAAAAAUAGGAUUCUGAAGGUAAAAAGGAGGCAAAGAGGGCUUGAGAGGCACAAAGGAGCUGGAGCCCUUGCUGGCCUCUCUCCCACCUGGAUUCGCGGCUGCCCCGUGGAAUUGCUGCGGUUCCCCAAAACGGAGGGGGAAAAGCUCCUCCUUCCCUGCCCGCGGAUGAAUUCUCAGCCCUGCAGCUCCGGGCUGGGCCAGAGGAUCCCCCCAGCCCUGCCCCGAUCCCAGAAAUCACGGACACCCCGACGGGCCCCGCCAGGCCGGGUUUAUUCCCUCCCCAAAUCUGGAUGGAGCCACCCAAACCCCAAAUUGGGCUGUGGGGGGCCAGGCUGGGAGCACCCACCCCAGCGGGGCACGAACAGGAACCUGCAGCGCGGCUUUUGCUCCCUUUUUUAUAGAUUUCUGCGCGGAUGUAGAGAAAAUAGAGAGAACGUGGGGCGCCCCCAGCAGAGCCACGGCCGGCUGCAAACAGCUCUGAGGUGGGGAAUCAAAAGGGCCCCGUCCGGAUUGUCCCGGGCUGUCCCCUGCCUGUCCCGGGCUGUCCCCCUGCUGUCCCCCGGCUGUCCCCUCCUUGUCCCGGGCUGUCCCCUGCCUGUCCCGGGCUGUCCCGUGGCUGUCCCGGGCUGUCCCCUGCCUGUCCCGGNCUGUCCCGGGCUGUCCCCUGCCUGUCCCGGCCUGUCCCCUGCCUGUCCCGGCCUGUCCCCUGCCUGUCCCGGGCUGUCCCCUGCCUGUCCCGGGCUGUCCCCUCCUUGUCCCGGGCUGUCCCCUGCCUGUCCCCUGCCUGUCCCGGGCUGUCCCGUGGCUGUCCCGGGCUGUCCCCUGCCUGUCCCGGGCUGUCCCCUCCCUGUCCCGGGCUGUCCCCUGCCUGUCCCCCGGCUGUCCCCUCCCUGUCCCGGGCUGUCCCCUGCCUGUCCCGGGCUGUCCCCUGGCUGUCUCUGCCUGUCCCCCGGCUGUCCCCUCGCUGUCCCCCGGGCUAUCCCCGGACUGUCCCCUUGCUUUUUCCCGGCUGUCCCCCUGUUGUCCCCUCGCUGUCCCUGGGGCUGUCCCUGGCUGUCCCCCCGUUGUCCCGGGCUGUCCCCGUUGUCCCCCCGUUGUCCCGGGCUGUCCCCCCGCU